GAAGGAAGGUCUGACGGAGCACGCCGCGUGAGUGAUGAAGGUUUUCGGAUCGUAAAGCUCUGUUGUUAGGGAAGAACAAGUGCCGUUCAAAUAGGGCGGCACCUUGACGGUACCUAACCAGAAAGCCACGGCUAACUACGUGCCAGCAGCCGCGGUAAUACGUAGGUGGCAAGCGUUGUCCGGAAUUAUUGGGCGUAAAGGGCUCGCAGGCGGUUUCUUAAGUCUGAUGUGAAAGCCCCCGGCUCAACCGGGGAGGGUCAUUGGAAACUGGGGAACUUGAGUGCAGAAGAGGAGAGUGGAAUUCCACGUGUAGCGGUGAAAUGCGUAGAGAUGUGGAGGAACACCAGUGGCGAAGGCGACUCUCUGGUCUGUAACUGACGCUGAGGAGCGAAAGCGUGGGGAGCGAACAGGAUUAGAUACCCUGGUAGUCCACGCCGUAAACGAUGAGUGCUAAGUGUUAGGGGGUUUCCGCCCCUUAGUGCUGCAGCUAACGCAUUAAGCACUCCGCCGGGGGAGAGA
rnacentral:rRNA from 1 species